UACGUAGGGUGCGAGCGUUGUCCGGAAUUAUUGGGCGUAAAGGGCUCGUAGGCGGUUUGUCGCGUCGGGAGUGAAAACACCGGGCUUAACUCGGUGCUUGCUUUCGAUACGGGCAGACUAGAGGCAUGCAGGGGAGAACGGAAUUCCUGGUGUAGCGGUGAAAUGCGCAGAUAUCAGGAGGAACACCGGUGGCGAAGGCGGGUCUCUGGGCAGUAACUGACGCUGAGGCACGAAAGCCAGGGGAGCGAACAGG
rnacentral:rRNA from 1 species